rnacentral:rRNA from 1 species
CCUACGGGAGGCAGCAGUAGGGAAUCUUCCGCAAUGGGCGAAAGCCUGACGGAGCAACGCCGCGUGAGUGAUGAAGGUCUUCGGAUCGUAAAACUCUGUUAUCAGGGAAGAACAAAUGUGUAAGUAACUGUGCACAUCUUGACGGUACCUGAUCAGAAAGCCACGGCUAACUACGUGCCAGCAGCCGCGGUAAUACGUAGGUGGCAAGCGUUAUCCGGAAUUAUUGGGCGUAAAGCGCGCGUAGGCGGUUUUUUAAGUCUGAUGUGAAAGCCCACGGCUCAACCGUGGAGGGUCAUUGGAAACUGGAAAACUUGAGUGCAGAAGAGGAAAGUGGAAUUCCAUGUGUAGCGGUGAAAUGCGCAGAGAUAUGGAGGAACACCAGUGGCGAAGGCGACUUUCUGGUCUGUAACUGACGCUGAUGUGCGAAAGCGUGGGGAUCAAACAGGAUUAGAUACCCUGGUAGUCCACGCCGUAAACGAUGAGUGCUAAGUGUUAGGGGGUUUCCGCCCCUUAGUGCUGCAGCUAACGCAUUAAGCACUCCGCCUGGGGAGUACGACCGCAAGGUUGAAACUCAAAGGAAUUGACGGCGNGAGAGCGACGAGCGACGACGAGGGGAGAGG